GAUCCAUAUAAAAGUACAUCAUGUAUGUUUUGUGGUUUUGUACUCAAAAGUACAUCAUGUAUGUUUUGUGGUGGUGUGUGGUGGUGUGUGGAGGUGGUGUGGAGGUGGUGUAGUGGUGUGUGGAGGUGUGUGGUGGGGUGUGGAGGUGGUGUAGGGGUGUGUGGAGGUGUGUAGUGGUGUGUGGAGGUGGUGUAGUGGUGUGUGGAGGUGGUGUAGUGGGGUGUGGAGGCGUGUGGAGGUGGUGUAGUGGGGUGUGGAGGUGUGUGGAGGUGGUGUAGUGGUGUGUGGAGGUGUGUAGUGGUGUGUGGAGGUGGUGUAGUGGUGUGUGGAGGUGGUGUAGUGGGGUGUGGAGGCGUGUGGAGGUGUUGUAGUGGUGUGUGGAGGCGUGUGGAGGUGGUGUAGUGGUGUGUGGAGGUGUGUGGAGGUGGUGUAGUGGUGUGUGGAGGUGUGUAGUGGUGUGUGGAGGCGUGUGGAGGUGGUGUAGUGGGGUGUGGAGGUGGUGUAGUGGUGUGUGGAGGUGGUGUAGUGGGGUGUGGAGGUGGUGUAGUGGGGUGUGGAGGUGGUGUAGUGGUGUGUGGAGGUGUGUAGUGGUGUGUGGAGGUGGUGUAGUGGUGUGUGGAGGUGGUGUAGUGGUGUGUGGAGGUGUGUAGUGGUGUUUGGAGGUGGUGUAGUGUGGAGGUGGUGUAGUGGGGUGUGGUGGUGUAGUGGGGUGUGGGUGUGGAGGGAUAAGAUGAGAUGAGUUCUGUUCUGAUGAGAUGAGAUCUGUUCAGAUGAGAUAAAAUGAGUGGGGAGCGGACAGAUGCAUCUCCUGCAGGGACAUCUCUCUGGAAAAAAUAAAUCAAUUGGCAAA
ensembl:lncRNA